GCUCAGAAACUUAAAUGAAUUGACGGGCCGCACAAGCGGUGGAGUAUGUGGUUUAAUUCGAUGCAACGCGAAGAACCUUACCUGGUCUUGACAUCCCGGAGACCCUUAGGAAACUAGGGGGUGCUUCCAUCUGGAAGAAUCUGGAGACAGGUGCUGCAUGGCUGUCGUCAGCUCGUGUCGUGAGAUGUUGGGUUAAGUCCCGCAACGAGCGCAACCCUUGCCUUUAGUUGCCAGCAGUUCGGCUGGGCACUCUAAAGGGACUGCCGGUGUUAAACCGGAGGAAGGUGGGGAUGACGUCAAGUCCUCAUGGCCUUUAUGACCAGGGCUACACACGUACUACAAUGGCCGAUACAAAGGGCAGCGACACUGCGAGGUGAAGCCAAUCCCGUAAAAUCGGUCUCAGUCCGGAUUGGAGUCUGCAACUCGACUCCAUGAAGUUGGAAUCGCUAGUAAUCGUGGAUCAGCAUGCCACGGUGAAUACGUUCCCGGGCCUU
rnacentral:rRNA from 1 species